UUGACCUCGGAUCAGGUAGGGAUACCCGCUGAACUUAAGCAUAUCAAUAAGCGGAGGAAAAGAAACCAACAGGGAUUGCCUCAGUAACGGCGAGUGAAGCGGCAAGAGCUCAAAUUUGAAAGCUGGCCCCCUCGGGGUCCGCAUUGUAAUUUGCAGAGGAUGCUUCGGGAGUGGCCCCCAUCUAAGUGCCCUGGAACGGGCCGUCAUAGAGGGUGAGAAUCCCGUCUGGGAUGGGGUGCCCACGCCCGUGUGAAGCUCCUUCGACGAGUCGAGUUGUUUGGGAAUGCAGCUCUAAAUGGGUGGUAAAUUUCAUCUAAAGCUAAAUACUGGCCGGAGACCGAUAGCGCACAAGUAGAGUGAUCGAAAGAUGAAAAGCACUUUGAAAAGAGAGUUAAACAGCACGUGAAAUUGUUGAAAGGGAAGCGCUUGCGACCAGACUCGCCCACGGGGUUCAGCCGGCAUUCGUGCCGGUGUACUUCCCCGCGGGCGGGCCAGCGUCGGUUUGGGCGGCCGGUCAAAGGCCCUUGGAAUGUACCGCCCCCCGGGGCGGCUUAUAGCCAAGGGUGCCAUGCGGCCAGCCCGGACCGAGGAACGCGCUUCGGCUCGGACGCUGGCAUAAUGGUCGUAAGCGACCCGUCUUGAAACACGGACCAAGGAGUCUAACAUCUACGCGAGUGUUCGGGUGUCAAACCCGUGCGCGCAGUGAAAGCGAACGGAGGUGGGAACCCCUCGGGGCGCACCAUCGACCGAUCCUGAUGUCUUCGGAUGGAUUUGAGUAAGAGCGUAGCUGUUGGGACCCGAAAGAUGGUGAACUAUGCCUGAAUAGGGCGAAGCCAGAGGAAACUCUGGUGGAGGCUCGCAGCGGUUCUGACGUGCAAAUCGAUCGUCAAAUUUGGGUAUAGGGGCGAAAGACUAAUCGAACCAUCUAGUAGCUGGUUCCUGCCGAAGUUUCCCUCAGGA
rnacentral:rRNA from 1 species